rnacentral:rRNA from 1 species
UUUGUUGGAGAGUUUGAUCCUGGCUCAGGACGAACGCUGGCGGCGUGCUUAACACAUGCAAGUCGAGCGGAAAGGCCCUUC